rnacentral:lncRNA from 10 species
AUAGAAAUUGGCCGCUACAAUGAAGUCUGGAAGUGGCAUCAUAAGAACACAAAGCAACAUUAAUGGAGACAGGGUCAUUGUAGGUAGAGUUCUCACUGCUUUCAACUAACUGCUGUAUGUGCUCUCCAUAAAUCAUGUCCUCCAUAUCAUUGAUAACCUCUAAAUUACAUCAGUCCCGCUUCCUGGAUCUCCUCUCCCGAUCUGGAAUUAAACUGCCCUGCUUAGGCCUCAUUUUUUCUUUAUUAGGUGUUAACUGCCUCCAGUGUCCUCUCCUUAAAACCAUUCACCAACUUGGCUGGGGGUGGCUCACGCCUGUAAUUAUCCGGGGGGCCCUUUUCAGCUCUAAAAUUCUAUCUAAACCAUCUUUGUAGAUGUUUUUUAAGUAAUGAGUUGGUUUAAAAGUGAACAAGGGAAGACUGAUAAAUUUUUCUUUUUCACUUUUCUGCUGUCAUAUCCGAUUGGCUAAAAGUUUUUCUUGACCUGACUUUUUGAUCUUUAAAAUGCAGCAGGGUAUUGAUGCCAAGGUUUUCACUGGACUUUGUAAUUUGAGAAGCAGAAAAUAUGGUUAUGCCUUUCAAAAACAUCUGCAAAGGUUUUUGUUUUUGUAUUUUUUAAAAUCUUACUCAAGCUUUUCAAAACAAUAACUUUCUGGUUCUUAGUGGCUAUCUCAGACAGUUUUACGGAAAAUAUUUCUUACAGAGACAGAAAGGAUUCCCACCCAGUUAAAUGUUUCAUCUUCUGUGAUUUGCCCUGCAAGGAGCUCAUCUGUGUGUUGAGAGGGCAUCUAGCUUUGGGCUCCAAUUACAAGAGCAGGGCCAUAGGUGGCCAUGCUGCAGGGCACUGCUGUUCAGAGGGGGCUGGCCAAGGAAAACACUUUCUUGAGCAUUUGAAGCAGAAGAUGAAACAGAUGGUUUUUAGCUAGGAAAGCACUCAUGAACGUGUCCCCAAGUAAAUGUUCCAUAUGUUAAAUCCUGACUGCAGUGGAAGCAGCUUGUCAUUAAGUAUGCUACCUGGGAAAUCUCCAGUCAAACACUCCAUACCUGCCAUUUUAUAUUCUUUGAUUGGAAAGCCACACAUUAAAUAUGGUUCUCAACUUUAAAAGCAGCACUUUCUAAUGCAGACAUUAAGUGCUUGUGGUAAAAAUGGAAAUACAAACAAACCUCUUUCAUGUUGGCUGAAUCAUCAUCGUUCUUAUUAUCAUCAAUAGCAAUAGGAAAAAUUUAUAUCUCACCAGUAACCCUGCUGUUCUUUUUGGGGUAGAGAAGUAGUUAUGAAAUUUAAUUCCUGUCUUCAAGAAAUUUCUAGGCUGGGCGCAGUGGCUCACGCCGGAAAUCCCAACACUUUGGGAGGCCAAGGCGGGCAGAUCUCUUGAGGACAGGAGUUAGAGACCAGUCGGGUUAACAUGGUGAAACCCUGUCUCUACUAAAACAAAAAUUAGCUGGGCGUGAUGGAGUGUGCCUGUACUCCCAGCUACUCAGGAGGCUGAGGCAGGAUAAUUGCUCGAACCCAGGAAGUGGAGGUUGCAGUAAGCCAAGAUCGCACCAUUGCACUCCAGCCUGGGCAUCGCAGCAACACUCCAAAAAAGAAAGAAAGAGAGAGAGAGAGAGA